ACGAACGCUGGCGGCGCGCCUAACACAUGCAAAUCGAGCGAGAACCAGCCCUUCGGGGCUGGGGACGAGCGGCGAACGGGUGAGUAACACGUGGGUGAUCUACCCUCGGUUCUGGGAUAGCCCGGGGAACCCGGAUUAAUACCGGAUGGCCUUUCGAGUCCUCGGACCCGAAAGAAAAGGUAAGCUUCGGCCUCCGACCGAGGAUGAGCCCGCGGCCGAUUAGCUUGUUGGUGGGGUAAGUGGCCUACCAAGGCGACGAUCGGAGCUGGUCUGAGAGGACGAUCAGCCACACUGGGACUGAGACACGGCCCAGACUCCUACGGGAGGCAGCAGUGGGGAAUCUUGCGCAAUGGGCGAAAGCCUGACGCAGCGACGCCGCGUGCGGGAAGAAGGCCUUCGGUUGUAA
rnacentral:rRNA from 1 species